GCAAACUUGGUCAUUUAGAGGAAGUAAAAGUCGUAACAAGGUUUCCGUAGGUGAACCUGCGGAAGGAUCAUUAUUGAAGUUGAAUGCAAGCUGUCGCUGGCCUUAUCUCCAAGGCAUGUGCACGCUUUGCACUUCUACUUUAUUUCCCCUUUGUGCACCUUUGGCUAGUUCAGGUUUACUUUCUGUAUAAAUGAGACCAUAUGCUUUUCAAGCCUUGGCUUCGUUUUGAAGAUUGCGUCUUAGCUCUCUUUGUGCUGCAGAAAGGGCAUGGGCUAUGCAUCCUGUUUUUAUAAACUUGCAUAAUCUUGGAAUGACUUUUGUGUUUACUAGGUUGUUGAACCUGUAAAUCUUCUAUACAACUUUCAGCAAUGGAUCUCUUGGCUCUGGCAUCGAUGAAGAACGCAGC
rnacentral:misc_RNA from 1 species